AUUGAACGCUGGCGGCAUGCUUUACACAUGCAAGUCGAACGGUAACAGGGUGCUUGCACCGCUGACGAGUGGCGAACGGGUGAGUAAUGCGUCGGAACGUGCCGAGUAGUGGGGGAUAACGCAGCGAAAGUUGUGCUAAUACCGCAUACGUACUGAGGUAGAAAGUGGGGGACCUUCGGGCCUCACGCUAUUCGAGCGGCCGACGUCUGAUUAGCUAGUAGGUGAGGUAAAGGCUCACCUAGGCGACGAUCAGUAGCGGGUAUGAGAGGAUGAUCCGCCACACUGGGACUGAGACACGGCCCAGACUCCUACGGGAGGCAGCAGUGGGGAAUUUUGGACAAUGGGCGAAAGCCUGAUCCAGCCAUGCCGCGUGUCUGAAGAAGGCCUUCGGGUUGUAAAGGAUUUUUGUCGGGGAGGAAAUCCCCAGCGUUAAUACCGCUGGGGGAUGACAGUACCUGAAGAAUAAGCACCGGCUAACUACGUGCCAGCAGCCGCCGUAACAC
rnacentral:rRNA from 1 species